rnacentral:rRNA from 1 species
UUCCGGUUGAUCCUGCCGGAGGUUACUGCUAUCGAGGUUCGACUAAGCCAUGCGAGUCGAAUGUAGCAAUACAUGGCGAACUGCUCAGUAACACGUGGACAACCUGCCCUUAGGACGGGGAUAAACCCGGGAAACUGGGUAUAAUACCCGAUAGGUCUCGAUUGCUGGAAUGCAUCGAGAUUUAAAGCUCCGGCGCCUAAGGAUGGGUCUGCGGCCUAUCAGGUAGUAGUGGGUGUAGUGUACCUACUAGCCUACGACGGGUACGGGUUGUGAGAGCAAGAGCCCGGAGAUGGAUUCUGAGACACGAAUCCAGGCCCUACGGGGUGCAGCAGGCGCGAAAACUUUACAAUGCUGGCAACAGCGAUAAGGGAACCUCGAGUGCCAGGUUACAAAUCUGGCUGUCGAGAUGCCUAAAAAGCAUUUCAUAGCAAGGGCCGGGCGAGACCGGUGCCAGCCGCCGCGGUAACACCGGCGGCUCGAGUGGUAACCGUUAUUAUUGGGUCUAAAGGGUCUGUAGCCGGCCGGAUAAGUCUCUUGAGAAAUCUGGCAGCUUAACUGUCAGGCCUUCAGGAGAUACUGUCUGGCUCGAGGCCGGGAGAGGUGAGAGGUACUUCAGGGGUAGGGGUGAAAUCUUGUAAUCCUUGAAGGACCACCAGUGGCGAAGGCGUCUCACCAGAACGGACCUGACGGCAAGGGACGAAAGCUAGGGGCACGAACCGGAUUAGAUACCCGGGUAGUCCUAGCCGUAAACGAUACUCGCUAGGUGUCGGCCACGGUGCGACCGUUGUCGGUGCCGUAGGGAAGCCGUGAAGCGAGCCACCUGGGAAGUACGGCCGCAAGGCUGAAACUUAAAGGAAUUGGCUG